UACGGGGGGGGCAAGCGUUGUUCGGAGUUACUGGGCGUAAAGGGCUCGUAGGCGGCCAACUAAGUCAGACGUGAAAUCCCUCGGCUUAACCGGGGAACUGCGUCUGAUACUGGAUGGCUUGAGUUUGGGAGAGGGGUGCGGAAUUCCAGGUGUAGCGGUGAAAUGCGUAGAUAUCUGGAGGAACACCGGUGGCGAAGGCGGCAUCCUGGACCAACACUGACGCUGAGUGAGCGAAAGCCAGGGGAGCAAACGGG
rnacentral:rRNA from 1 species